GAUGAACGCUAGCGGCAGGCCUAACACAUGCAAGUCGAGGGGUAUUAGGAGCUUGCUCCUAAGAGACCGGCGCACGGGUGCGUAACGCGUAUGCAAUCUACCUUGUACAGGGGAAUAGCCCAGAGAAAUUUGGAUUAAUGCCCCAUAGUAUAAUUGAAUCGCAUGGUUUAAUUAUUAAAGUUCCAACGGUACAAGAUGAGCAUGCGUCCCAUUAGUUAGUUGGUAAGGUAACGGCUUACCAAGACAAUGAUGGGUAGGGGUCCUGAGAGGGAGAUCCCCCACACUGGUACUGAGACACGGACCAGACUCCUACGGGAGGCAGCAGUGAGGAAUAUUGGUCAAUGGGCGCAAGCCUGAACCAGCCAUGCCGCGUGCAGGAAGACGGUCCUAUGGAUUGUAAACUGCUUUUAUACAGGAAGAAACAACGCUACGUGUAGCGUCUUGACGGUACUGUAGGAAUAAGGAUCGGCUAACUCCGUG
rnacentral:rRNA from 1 species